GCUUAUCACCAUUCCAAAUUGAAUAUACCCGAUCUCGUCUGAUCUCGGAAGUCAAGCAAUCUCGGGCUUGGUUAGUACUUGGAUGGGUGACCGCUUGGGAAUAUCAAGUGUGAUAAGCA
rfam:Ciona savignyi cont_36284, whole genome shotgun sequence.